CUUUGUUUGCAUAGACGUUCAACUUUGUAACUUCACCUUAGUCUCUGAGGGCCACAGCUUCAUUUACAUGAGGUGAACACAAAGUGGCCAAUGGGAAAUCUCUAGGGGGUAUUUGGACCUGAGAAGAUUCUAUAUCCAGGCCCUUGAGCUGCUGCCGCUGCCGGCUCCCACACUGUGGAGUGUACUUUCACUUUCAAUAAGUCUCUGCUUUUGUUGUAUCAUUCUUUCCUUGCUUUGCUGUGUGUUUUGUCCAAUUCUUUGUUCAAAAUGCCAAGAACCUGGCCAACUUGGAGUCAAGACCCUCUACCGACUAUCCAGCUGUGCUGAUUCCCUCAGUGAUCUGGAGGGGAUGAGGCAGGCGUUGGCCUCUUGGGCAAUGUCUUGUGAGUCUGAAGAAACCAGGCACUUACUUCACCCUUAUUUUUCCCCAUGGGAGAAAACUACAGGCUGAGGAGGUCUCUCUUGACAUUAAGCUGUGCUGCCUUGAGGGAGAGAUGAUGCAGAACAAAGAAGAAAAAAUUUCUUUUAAAGAAAGGCCAAAGAAUUAUUAUAGAUCUUUUCUUUCGACAUUCCUAAACAAGAACAGGCCUAGAUGGUGUCAUUUUCAAUUCUUGUCCUAACUGGGCCACCGGGGAGGAAAGGAAGAAAGCAGCACAGAGCCAAGUUUGAAGUCCUGGAAGAGAAUCUCCUGAGACAUUGGCUGAGGAACACAGAAAGUUACUUGUGGCAGAAUCUUUCUGGAAUUUUUCCAUUCUGGGAUACUCUGAGCCCAUUUUGUCACAGGUCAUCAUGACUUGAUGAAUGAAUAUCAUAUUGGUUAAUUCCUGCGGCUUAAUAAAAUCCUUUGUUCAAGAACAGCAUGAAAUUUUCAGAGUGUAUCGACUCCUUGUUAGCUAUGAUUGAGACUAAGAGUGCCU
rnacentral:lncRNA from 10 species